GGAGGGUAUAGCUCAGUGGUAGAGUAUGUGCUUAUUAUGCACAUGGUCCUCCUGGGUUCAAUCCCCAGUACCUCCA
rnacentral:tRNA from 1 species